rnacentral:rRNA from 1 species
GUGGGGAAUUUUGGACAAUGGGCGCAAGCCUGAUCCAGCAAUGCCGCGUGUGUGAAGAAGGCCUUCGGGUUGUAAAGCACUUUUGUCCGGAAAGAAAUCUCCUGGGUUAAUACCUCGGGGGGAUGACGGUACCGGAAGAAUAAGCACCGGCUAACUACGUGCCAGCAGCCGCGGUAAUACGUAGGGUGCGAGCGUUAAUCGGAAUUACUGGGCGUAAAGCGUGCGCAGGCGGCUAUGCAAGACAGAUGUGAAAUCCCCGGGCUCAACCUGGGAACUGCAUUUGUGACUGCAUGGCUAGAGUGCGUCAGAGGGAGGUGGAAUUCCGCGUGUAGCAGUGAAAUGCGUAGAGAUGCGGAGGAACACCGAUGGCGAAGGCAGCCUCCUGGGAUGACACUGACGCUCAUGCACGAAAGCGUGGGGAGCAAACAGGAUUAGAAACCCUAGUAGUCC